rfam:Flavobacterium psychrophilum JIP02/86 complete genome
UAAUUUUGCACUCGAAUCCGAGAAACGGAAUUCAUACAUAAAAAUCAUUAAACAAAUAUUGGAAUG